GAACUUUACUGUCACGAAAUUCCAUCAAAACAGAGAAGCCAGAAACCAAAAUCAAAGAGAAAAUGAGAGGUAGGUAAGGGGAUAUGGAGAAAACCCAUAUCAGAAAACAAACCCAAAAACAUAAAAAGAUAGGACGAAGCAACAAAACGAAACUAAAAAAAACAAGCAUGAACAAGCACGGAUCUGCUCAAAACACAAAUCAAAGGCAGG
rnacentral:lncRNA from 1 species